AAGGGGAACAAGAAUACCCUUGGCAGGGAAUAGAGAGGCAAAGAUUAAAACAGACACAGAAGGAACACCCAUUCAGAGCCUGCCCCACAUGUGGCCCAUACAUAUACAGCCACCCAAUUAGACAAGAUGAUGAAGCAAAGAAGUGCAGCCGACAGGAGCCGGAUGUAGAUCUCUCCUGAGAGACACAGCCAGAAUACAGCAAAUACAGAGGCGAAUGCCAGCAGCAAACCACUGAACUGAGAAUAGGACCCCCGUUGAAGGAAUCAGAGAAAGAACUGGAAGAGCUUGAAGGGGCUCGAGACCCCUUAUGAACAACAAUGCCAAGCAACCAGAGCUUCCAGGGACUAAGCCACUACCUAAAGACUAUACAUGGACUGACCCUGGACUCUGACCUCAUAGGUAGCAAUGAAUAUCCUAGUAAGAGCACCAGUGGAAGGGGAAGCCCUGGGUCCUGCUAAGACUGAACCCCCAGUGAACAGUGAACGUGAUUGUUGGGGGGAGGGCGGCAAUGGGGGGAGGAUGGGGAGGGGAACACCCAUAAAGAAGGGGAGGGGGAGAGGGAUUAGGGGGAUGUUUGCCCGGAAACCGGGAAAGGGAAUAACACUCAAAAUGUAAAUAAGAAAUACUCAAGUUAAUAAUAAAAAAAAA
rnacentral:lncRNA from 1 species